GGGCCUGUAGCUCAGUUGGCUAGAGCGCCUCGUUUGCAACGAGGAGGUCGUCGGUUCGAUUCCGAUCAGGUCCACCA
rnacentral:tRNA from 1 species